GGGAUUUCUGAGGGCAGUGAAACUACUCUAUGGGAUACCACGAUGGUGAAUGUGGGACAUGAAGCAUUGGUCAAAACCCAAAGAACUCUGCAGCACAGACAAUGAAGCUUAAAGUAUGCAAUUUAAAAUUAAAUAAACUUAGGAGACUGGAGGGAUCCAAAGAUGGCACACAGAAUGUGAUCAAAGAGUCACACUGUAUGACAAAUGCAUGCAACGACCUCACAGAAGGGGGUGGGAGGACCUCACAACCUCAGAAACUCUAGGAAUGACUAGAAUCUGUAAAACUAAAGACGAAAUAGCUCACAGAGAAACAGCGUGCUCCAGUUGGCAAAGCCGAUUCCCAUGGAGUUGGGUGAGAGUUCAGAAUUCUGACACCAUUACUCAUGGUAUCAACCAUGGGUGCCACAGCUGAAUGGGUGUCUCCAAAGCACCUACUAUGUGCCCAGCCAUGUGAGACACAGCUGUGAGCAGAAUAGAGACCACCCCUGCCCUCACAGAGCUCAGGACCUCAAGGAGUGAGGGACGCGGAGGGAGAUCACCCACACAAUCAGGUUGUGACCGUUACCCCCUGAGGCUCCACCUGUCUGGUUCUCUGGCCGACUCUGACGACAUAGAGGAUUCCCUGGAGCUUCAGCCUCCCCUGUGGGGUGGUCUACAAUCGCUGGACUGCCACAUUCUUUGUGAUAGGGCUCCAAACACGUACACAUGGAGCCUUGGCUCUAUGGCCCUGUGCCUGCAGUUGGCAUCCCCACCAUCCCUGCCUUUCUCCUGACUCAUUCUGGCUCAUUCUAUCAGAUUCAACUUGUGCAUCACCUCCUCCAAGAAGCCCUCUCUAACUCCCUGACCAAGCUGGCAUAGGCAUCCCUGCCUGGAGCUGCCUCAAUACCAUCUGCUUCUAUCUCCGUGGUGCAAGGCACUGCAAUGACUUGUCUAAACAGUUCCUGCUAUAGGGCA